rnacentral:tRNA from 1 species
GCCUGAGUAGUUCAGUGGUUAGAACGCUGCGCUCAUAAACAUUCGUUGAAUGAGCUAUGAUUUGAUGAUUAGGUGAACCGCAGAGGCCGCGAGUUCAAUUCUCGCCUCAGGCA